GGCACGGUGCGCCAACGUGGCAGAGCGACCAAGCUCAAACCUUGGUGGAUGUGGGUUCGACUCCCUCCCGUGCUA
rnacentral:tRNA from 1 species